rnacentral:rRNA from 1 species
AGACAGAGGUGGCAAGCGUUGUUCGGAUUUGCUGGGCGUAAAGAGUUCGUAGGCGGUUGUGUGUGUCAGAUGUGAAAUCCCAGGGCUUAACCCUGGAAUUGCAUUUGAAACUGCAGGACUUGAGGACAGGAGGGGGAAGUGGAAUUCCCGGUGUAGCGGUGAAAUGCGUAGAUAUCGGGAAGAACACCGGUGGCGAAGGCGGCUUCCUGGACUGUCCCUGACGCUGAGGAACGAAAGCGUGGGUAGCAAACAGGAUUAGAAACCCUAGUAGUCC